rnacentral:rRNA from 1 species
UACGUAGGGUGCGAGCGUUGUCCGGAAUUAUUGGGCGUAAAGGGCUCGUAGGCGGUUUGUCGCGUCGGGAGUGAAAUCAUCUGGCUUAACUGGGUGCUUGCUUUCGAUACGGGCAGACUAGAGGUAUGCAGGGGAGAACGGAAUUCCUGGUGUAGCGGUGAAAUGCGCAGAUAUCAGGAGGAACACCGGUGGCGAAGGCGGAUCUCUGGGCCUUACCUGACGCUGAGGCGCGAAAGCUAGGGGAGCGAACAGG